rnacentral:siRNA from 1 species
UUGACCCACGAAGAGCAUGAUG